rnacentral:rRNA from 1 species
GAUGAACGCUAGCGGGAGGCUUAAUACAUGCAAGUCGAGCGGCAGCGCGUCCGACCACCCUCGGGUGGUCGGAUGGCGGCGAGCGGCGGACGGGUGAGGAAUGCAUCGGAAUCUGCCUCGUUGUGGGGGAUAACGUAGGGAAACUUACGCUAAUACCGCAUACGACCUACGGGUGAAAGUGGGGGACCUUCGGGCCUCACGCGAUGAGAUGAGCCGAUGCCGGAUUAGCUAGUUGCGGGGUAAAGGCCCACCAAGGCGACGAUCCGUAGCUGGUCUGAGAGGAUGAUCAGCCACACUGGAACUGAGACACGGUCCAGACUCCUACGGGAGGCAGCAGUGGGGAAUAUUGGACAAUGGGCGCAAGCCUGAUCCAGCAAUGCCGCGUGUGUGAAGAAGG